CAGGUUGACCUCGGAUCAGGUAGGGAUACCCGCU
rnacentral:rRNA from 1 species